rnacentral:sRNA from 1 species
CGCGGAUGUUUGUAAGGCAUCCAAAAUAAGCAGCCGCCAGCGCCAAUAAAUAAGCCCAUUAACCGGCGAAGUUCGAGUUUACGAUCCCCCAUGCUUUUUUCAAAGUUGCUGAGGGGCGGGAAUCUUCGUUGCGGGAAGAAGAAAAGGCAAUUCCAAAGGUGAAAACGCAGCCAACUGGCUCACCGCAAAGAGUGGUCGGAAGAAGCGCUGCCCCUACACGAAGCACCAGACACUGGAGCUGGAGAAGGAGUUUCUGUUCAACAUGUACCUUACUCGAGAGCGGCGCCUAGAGAUUAGCCGCAGCGUCCACCUCACGGACAGACAAGUGAAAAUCUGGUUUCAGAACCGCAGGAUGAAACUGAAGAAAAUGAAUAGAGAAAACCGGAUCCGGGAGCUCACAGCCAACUUUAAUUUUUCCUGAUGAAUCUCCAGGCGACGCAGUUUUUUCACUUUCCGAGCGCUGGUCCCCUCUCUCUGUCUUCAGCCUCUGCCCAGGAACUCGCACCUGUGCUGGAGCCCUGUUCCUCCCUCCUACACUCGCCAUCUCCUGGGCCGUUACAUCUGUGCAGGGCUGGUUUGUUCUGACUUUUUGUUUCUUUGUGUCUGCUUGGUGCUGGUUUAUUUGUUGUUUUCUGGGAGAAAAAGCCAUAUCGUGCUAAAAUUCUAUAGAGAUAGAUAUUGUCCUAAGUGUCAAGUCGUGACUGGGCUGGGUUUGCUGUCUUGGGGUCCCACUGCUCGAAAUGGCCCCUGUCUUCGGCUGAGCUGGUUUCCUGCCCAGCCUGGGGCAAACCUAGCCGGAAGGCCGAGGUCCCAUUGUUGGCGCUGAGGUGUCUGGCCUGAGGUCAAUGGUGCAAAGGAGCCGACACCGGGCAUGUCUGCCUGGAGUGCUGUGCUGUGUUUAAUCAGGGGAUACAGGCCCCUGGGUUUCUUUUUUCUUUCUUC